rnacentral:rRNA from 1 species
ACGGGAGGCAGCAGUGAGGAAUAUUGGUCAAUGGACGAGAGUCUGAACCAGCCAAGUAGCGUGCAGGAAGACGGCCCUAUGGGUUGUAAACUGCUUUUGUACGGGAAUAAAGUGCGGGACGUGUCCCGCUUUGCAUGUACCGUAAGAAUAAGGACCGGCUAAUUCCGUGCCAGCAGCCGCGGUAAUACGGAAGGUCCGGGCGUUAUCCGGAUUUAUUGGGUUUAAAGGGAGCGCAGGCUGUUCUUUAAGCGUGUUGUGAAAUGUAGGCGCUCAACGUCUGCACUGCAGCGCGAACUGGAGGACUUGAGUACGCGGGAAGUAGGCGGAAUUCGUCGUGUAGCGGUGAAAUGCUUAGAUAUGACGAAGAACUCCGAUUGCGAAGGCAGCUUACUGUAGCGCCACUGACGCUAAAGCUCGAAAGUGCGGGUAUCGAACAGGAUUAGAUACCCUGGUA